GACGUAGGUGGCGAACGUUAUCCGGAAUCAUUGGGCGUAAAGGGUGCGUAGAUGGCAUGAUAAGUUAUUAGUGGGAAAUCGAGGCUCAACCUCGUGGAAGCUAGUAAUACUGUUUUGCUUGAGUACAGAAGAGGUUAACGGAACUCCAUGUGGAGCGGUAAAAUGCGUAGAUAUAUGGAAGAACACCAAUAACGGCGAAGGCAGUUAACUAUUCUGUUAUUGACAUUGAGGCACGAAAGCGUGGGGAGCAAAACGG
rnacentral:rRNA from 1 species